rnacentral:rRNA from 1 species
UGGGAGUAUCAACCCUCUCAGUAACGAAGUUAACGCGUUAAGCACUCCGCCUGGGGAUUACGGUCGCAAGAUUAAUACUCAAAGAUAUUUACGGGGUACCCGCACAAGGAGUGGAGCAUGUGGUUUAAUUCUACGCAACGCGAAGGACCUCAUCCUGGCCUUGACAUUCUAGGACAACCGAUGAAAGUCGGCUUUCUCUUCGGAGACAUAGGGACAGGUGCUGCAUGGCUGUCGUCAGCUCGUGUCGUGAGUAUGUUGGGUUAAGUCCCGUAACGAGCGCAACCCACGCCCCUUGUUACCAGCAUUAAGUUGGGGACUCUAGGGGGACCGCCGGCGUUAAGCCGGAGGAAGGUGUGGAUGACGUCAAGUCCUCAUGGCCCUUAUGGCCAGGGCUACACACGUGCUACAAUGCGGCGUACAAAGGGCAGCGAAACCGUAAGGUGAAGCUAAUCUCAAAAAGCGUCGCUCAGUUCGGAUUGAGGUCUGCAACUCGACCUCAUGAAGCUGGAAUUCCUAGUAAUCGCAGAUCAGUAUGCUGCGGUGAAUACGUUAUCGGGUCUUGUACACACCGCCCGUCUACACCACGAAAGUGGUUUGCACCAGUAGUCGCUGAGCUAAC